GCUGGGGAUAGCUCUGUUGACAGAGCACAAGACUCUUAAUCUCGAAGUCAUGGGUUUGAGCCCCACUUUGGGCA